rnacentral:tRNA from 1 species
CGUCUAGCGGCUAGGACAUCGCCCUCUCACGGCGAAAACAGGGGUUCAAGUCCCCUAGGGGAUACCA